rfam:Brachypodium distachyon strain Bd21 chromosome 4, whole genome shotgun sequence.
AUGUUACUCCCUCCGAUACAUAUUAAUUGUCUUAAAUUUGCCCAAACAUGGAUGUAUCUAUGACUAAAAAGCGUCGUCUAGAUACAUGUAAUAUUUCGACAAUUAAUAUGGAUCGGAGGGAGUACUUU